rnacentral:rRNA from 1 species
CAGGCCUUACACAUGCAAGUCGAGGGGUAGAAAAAGCUUGCUUUUUUGAGACCGGCGCACGGGUGAGUAACGCGUAUGCAACCAACCUUAUACAGGGGAAUAGCCCGAAGAAAUUCGGAUUAAUGCUCCAUGGUUUAUCGAUAUGGCAUCGUAUUGAUAAUAAAGAUUUAUCGGUAUAAGAUGGGCAUGCGUAUCAUUAGCUAGUUGGUGUGGUAACGGCAUACCAAGGCAACGAUGAUUAGGGGUCCUGAGAGGGAGAUCCCCCACACUGGUACUGAGACACGGACCAGACUCCUACGGGAGGCAGCAGUGAGGAAUAUUGGUCAAUGGAGGCAACUCUGAACCAGCCAUGCCGCGUGCAGGAUGACGGUCCUAUGGAUUGUAAACUGCUUUUGUACAGGAAGAAACCUCCCUACGAGUAGGGACUUGACGGUACUGUAAGAAUAAGGAUCGGCUAACUCCGUGCCAGCAGCCGCGGUAAUACGGAGGAUCCGAGCGUUAUCCGGAAUUAUUGGGUUUAAAGGGUUCGUAGGCGGCUUUGUAAGUCAGUGGUGAAAUUUCCUAGCUUAACUAGGACACUGCCAUUGAUACUGCAGAACUUGAAUAAUAUGGAAGUAACUAGAAUAUGUAGUGUAGCGGUGAAAUGCUUAGAUAUUACAUGGAAUACCAAUUGCGAAGGCAGGUUACUACGUACUUAUUGACGCUGAUGAACGAAAGCGUGGGGGAGCGAACAGGAUUAGAUACCCUGGUAGUCCACGCCGUAAACGAUGGAUACUAGCUGUUCGGUUUUCGGACUGAGUGGCUA